UCAGUUAAAUUAUUUACCGAACAGUUCUGAUGUUGAGAUUUCGGUAAAUAAUUUUACCGAAUUCGGCGAUUUAUUUUAAGUGUGUACAUUUAGCAAAUUUUGGAAUCACUCAUCUUUUUGACAGCUCCAUAUUGCUUCCGAAAAUAGGUGAUUUUAAAACAUUAAAUCAAGCAUAAUUUUUCAUAACGACGUAUGUAACAAUUAUGAGGAUUCGAGAAAUCCUUUUCAGAAAGUUGGCAAAACUUUUUCUAAAACUGUUUUAAAACUAAAUCUUUUUUCAAUACUUUUUUCCGCUGGCAUGCAUCAUUACAUGACACGUAACAAGUGUGCUUCAUAUCAUAGCUCAGUUCAUUCAAGUUCACUGUGAAAAACGAUAAAAUUAUACAUACACCGGUAUGGUGCACAUACGUCGGUGUACAUUGGUCGGUUUUCCAUACACUGCCAAAAAUAUCUGUAUAAGAUAUAUGUGUCGCCGUUAUAAAUUUUUGCAAUAGCUCCACCCUAAUAUAAUCGAUAUACACUCAGCAAACUGGACUAUCGAAAUUCAUAACUGGCGCCUUAUGAACCUUCGACUGAUUACUCCACUAACAGUGCUAUUUAUACGCAGUUACCUCCCCGAGUAAUCAAGCGUCGAUGGACGUGUGGUCUACGUACCGGCCUCCCGACCCCGACGUCCAUGGUUUGAACCCAGUCUGCCGCACUUCACUUUUUUUCAAAUGAAAAUCAUCGUUCAUAAGGCAGCAUAUUGAAAUUCAUACCGAUUCCUUGUGGCAAAUUUUCAUAAGGCGUAUGAUUAAAAAUCAUACGUCCAUUUUCCUCAAUGUAGAACCACACAUAAAUUAAAUAAUUGCUAAUUCGAGACCAUACAUAAAAUUUAUUUGGAUAUAUAUUUUAUUAGUAGUUCGCGUGGAGAAUGGUUAUGUGUGCGCUGAUAUACAUCAUAAGUUAAAUCUAUGGAUUUUUGCCAAUAAAUAUGUGUGGAUUUUUAGUAGUGUAAUGCACAAUUGACGCAACUGCAGUUUUGUUUUGAUUUGCUUUUUUGUCACAUAGGUCGCUCUUAGUUCCCAUAUGUUACAGCGACGUAUGUAACAGUAAGACUUCAAAAAUAGAAAUUUUGACAUACGUCGAUUCGUAAAAAGAUUGAAUUAAAGAAUUUUAAGAUCUAAAAUCAGUAAAAUCGAUGCGUAUUAUAUAAAGCCGUGUGUGAUUGUCAUGUUGUAUUAAAAACUUUGUUUUGUUUUCUUUUGUUACAUACGUCCUUAUGAAAAAUUAUGCUUGAAAUGUGUAUAAGGCAUUUUAUGAGACGUUUGCGGUGGGCCGAUUAUUUACUUCUAGUGUUUUGUUUUGGUACGAUUCUGCGUGAACAUUCUGUUAGGUCCGAACACAAAAUAAUGUUUGUAACGUUUUACUUUUCAUUCAUGUUUUCUUCAGCAUCAAAUGCUUAGAAUGCAAUGGUAUGCAUAAUCUAACGACACGUUUUAAGAAUCAUAUGAAAAACUUUGUUCUAAAACCCUGGUAGACGAGAAGUAAAACAGGCAGAAUUGAUGAUGGGACUCAUCGGAAUGUUCAGCGCUAAAUUACCAAACAAACGGGCUCCCACAAAUAGUCAAAGUAGAUAAACACGAGAAAAACAGCUGUUCCGAUCUGUCUCAUAAAAUGCCUUAUUCCAAAUCUCCGUAAUUUGUAACGCAAUAUUGUGUACCCACCCACCCCUUUAUGCGUUAUGUAAUUUGUGAAUGAGUCCUUAUGUUCUCCUAACCCAGAAAACAAUCUGUGCGACGUUAGACACUAAUUAGGGGAUGUUAGUUAUGUUGCAGUGCAAACAUGUCCAUGUUUAUGAUUAUAUGUUGCAAUGCACGUUUUCUUCUUCAACGUUUUGACAGUUUAUGAAAAAAAAGAACAUUGUUGCUAUUUCGGUAGGUCAGUUGCAGCCAAAUCGAAGUCUUUUCAAAGGAUUUUCCUGUAAAUAUCCAAACUGAGUCUAUUCAACUUUGAUCAAUUAUAUCAAUAAACUCAAAGGAAUUGUUGGAACAGGAGCCGUUCUAUGCUACAGAAUGUAAUUAACGAGAAGAUGAAAAACGGAAAUUCCAUCGACGGAUUUUGAAAACACCGCUUGACCGAAAAAUACUUCCAGCCGAAUUCUCAUUUCUUCCGAUCACAGAGGAAAGGUUGCAGGAAUAAACGAUCCGCUUAUCAAAUGCUGGUGCCACCAAAACUGAAACUGAAGCUUCCGGCUGAGUGCGGUAUGCCACGAACUUUGUUUGUUUUAAUUCGCUCAACAAUGCUGGUGCCGAUCUGCUAAACCGGAUCAUUAUUAGGAAAACAGCUGUAAUCCCCUGCAGACAAAAUAUCAAACCGAGCGCACACCGUGAAAGAGAAUCAGAAGAUGGAAAAAAGGAAACACCAUCGACGGAUUUUGAAAACGCGGCUUGAGCAAAGAUACCUGCAACGGAAUUCUCCUUUCGUCCGAUGGCACCGGAAAGGUCACAAGUACCAGCCACAAACGAUCAGCUUGUCAAUUGCGGAUGCCACUGAAUAGAAAUUGAAACUUCCGGCUAUGUACGAUAGCUACAAAUUUUGUUUAUCAUGUAAGUUCACUCUGCAUAUGAACAUACACGGUUUUUACGUUGAAUUUUAUCCCAAGUAUCGGUCGGUGCCGAUCUGCUUCGUGGUAUUCUGAGCUGUACAAACAGCUGUAAUAUCUACAGCUACCAGCAGACAAAAACCAAUAUGAGCGCGUACUGUGAAAAAGAAAGCAUGUACCUAGCAGCAAACAAAUGAUCCAAUCGUACAUUUCUAAAAAUAAUGAGCAGCAGGAUUCGAUUUUAUUUUGUCUCAAGGACUUGUGCACCACCACAUCUCAUUGAAAAUGUACAUAGAAACACGAAUUAUAAAUAAAUUGAACUAUUCUUCAGUUAUUUAGAUUUACAUCUAGUUGUUAUUCGGUGCAAAAGUGUACUUUGUUGGUUUUAAAUAUUUUUCGAGCCAAUAAAUUCACUUUUUGCUCGUGUGACAGCUGGAUGUAAAUAAAUCAGCAUAAAAGCCCUUUUGAAACAACCCUAACAAUACCCUAACCGCCCACUACGAAACAUAACUAACUUCACUCUAAAGUUAGACUAACAUGUUAGAUCAAAUCAUGCAAUAAACAUAAACAUACCUAACAAAAGUGUUGCAGAUCUGUCUAAUUUU